rnacentral:lncRNA from 1 species
AGUUAUGGGAAUAUAAACACACCAGCAGCGAUGGGAAGACAAACACAGACACAAAGAUACACACAUAUAUAUAUAUAUAUAUAUAUAUAUAUAUAUGUAUAUGACGGGCUUCUUUCAGUUUCCACCUACCAAAUCCACUCACAAGGCUCUGAUUAGCCCGAGGCUAUAGUAGAAGACAAUUGCCCAUGGUGUCAAGCAGUGGGACUGAACCCAGAACCAUGUGGUUGGGAAGCAAGCUUCUUACCACACAGUCACGCCUGCACCUGUGAUGCAUAAAACAUCUUCAUUAGUCUUCUGCCCAUUAUAUUCCUUUUCCAGUCUCCAUCUACCUUCAUGUCUACCACUACCUACUCUUAAUAUUCGCUACACUAUACUUCCUAUAUAACAUAGUCAAUCUUCCCCACUAUUAUCCUUUAUCUCUCUCCCUUCUUUCUAUUUCUAUACCUGAGCAAUGAGGCUUAGCAUUGGAUGUAUUCUAAUUCAUUAAUUCUAGCAUCACCCUUCUUUACUGCCAGUCAUCACUCUUUCUCCCUCUUGUCGCUUUGCUUUCACAUCUACCACUUUCUCCAUUGACCAUCUUUAUUACUAUUAUUCAUCAUCAUGCUAAGUUUUCUAUUCUAUCUCCUUAUCAGCAACCAUCAUGUAGCUAUCACUAUCUCCUCCAUAACUCCCUCCUCUAACAUCCUUUCAAUCCUAGCACUCUGUUUCCCCCAUCACACUCACAAGGAUCUCUUUUUUUUAUACGCUUGGUCAUUUCCCCUCCUCUCUAUCUAUCUAUCUAUCUAUCUAUUUAUCUAUAUCUAUCUAUUUAUUUCUUCCCCUCUUCUAUUCAAUCUCUAGGGCAUGUUUGCCUUAAAUGAAUGGUAACAACAUAGAGUAGAGCACCCAGUGUGUAAAACAGGUAGAUUUAGGAAGGGCAUCUAGCAGUAGAAAUAAUAUCAAGAAUGGAAUAUACAAAUGAGAUAUGAUCCUUUGAUCUAAGAAGGCAGUAACUCUGAAUAAGAAUUUACUCGGACCAUGACGAUCUCUCCAAUCCAUGCCUGCAUAGUGAGUAGAUGUAAAAUUAUAACAAUGACGAUUUUAUAUCAUCAUCAUCAUCAUCAUCAUUUUGUUUCAUUCACUUUCCAUGCUGGCAUGGGUUGAAUAGUCUGACAAAAUCCAGUGGGUUGAUGGACCAUAUUUUGCUCCAAUGUUUCAGAUUUGACAAAGUUUUCUAUGGCUGGAUGUCCUCCUAACCACCAGUUACUUUUCAGAUUUUACUGGGUGCAUUACUUCAUAGCACCAACACUACAGAAGUUGACAUGUCCUCAGCAAGGCUAAAGAAUCCUUUCAAUCCUGUAUUGUCUUUAUUUGAUAUGCCAGCCACAGAGUUUACUGGAUGCAUUUUUUAUCAGCUGUAGUAAGGUUACCUUGUAACUCACUAGGCUAAAGAGUUCCUACAAUUGAAAGAAAGGACAAGGGAAAGAAUGGUGAAAGAAGUUAAAAUAUAUGAAGGUAGGAACAGGUUUAUUAUUGUAAGUAGUAGUGGUGGUGGUGGGGGGGAGGAUUACAGAGGAAUAAUGGAAGAGACUAGGGAAAGAGGAAGGGAACAGGUAGUGUUAGGGAGAUGAUGGGUAGAAAGGAUCCAGUGCCAUCUUACAUUACAUCUUCAACGUUUUAUGUUUGUUUUCCAUGCUGGCAUGGGGUUGGCUGGCUCAUCCAGGAUCCAGAUUAGUUCUCAUUGGAAUUAUAGUUCCUUUAAGUCAUAUGUUUACAUCAUAGUUUUGGUAUAGUUUUUGUGGCUGGAUGUCUUUCCUAACACCAACUAUUUUACAGAGUGUACUGGGUACAUUAUUGCAGCACCAGCACCAAAGAGGAUGUCAUGCUUCAGCAGGACUAAAUAAUCCUCUCAAUUUUGUUAGGCUUUAUCAGUAGUAUGUACUCACAUCCAGCCACAUGUCUAGACAGGAUCUAUUAACUCUGAUAUGUAGGAAACAGUGAAUAAAACAUGAGUGUGUGUGUGUGUGUGCGUGCACAUGUUUUAUUAUUAUUAUUGGCAGAAUUGUUAGAACAUCAGACAAAAUACCUUGCAGUAUUUAGUUAUGGCUCUUUACAUUCUGAGUUCGAAUCCCAAAGUCUUGGAGUCAAUAAAUAAAAGUAUCAGUCAAGUGCUAGAGUUCAUUUUAAUUGUCUAAUCUGUCUCCGAAAUUUUGACUUUGUGCCUAUGUAAGAAAUUAUAAUUAUGAGCUUGACAAAUAAAAUACCCCUGCAGUAUUUAAGUUAUGUUCCUUUACAUAUUGAGUAAAAUUCCACUGAUCAAUAAAAUAAGCACCAGCCAUGUACUGGGAUUUAAUUUUUUAUACAAUACCUUCCUCUCCUAUGUUGGUAGGAUAGAAAUCCUUAUUAUUUCCAUAUGAUUGGUGUAACAAAAAACUACUUCACUGCAUUUAGUUACGUCAUUUUACAAUCUAGGUUUCAGUACCUGUCAAGUACAAGGGUUUAAUUGAUUGACUGUUCUUUGCUCCAGAAUUUGGGGCUUUUGUAUUUAUGUUAGGAAUUUUUAGUACUAUCAUAAAAGUGGUGGAUUAGUAGAAUCAGUAGGGAGUGGCCAACAAAAUAUUUAAAAAAUUUUGAUUGUCAUUUAUCUUCUGAGUUAAAACUCUUACCAGAUUCAAAAUUUACCUAACAUUCUUCAGUGGUUGGGUGGAUCAGUAAAAUCAGUGUGAGUCAAGUAUUUGGGUUGAUUUAAUUGCUACAUCACUCUUAUAAAAUGUGUGGCCUUAUUCUAAGAGAGGUACAAGACCACAAAUUUAGAGAGGAGGUAAAGCUGAGAGUGAAACCACAGUUUUGUUACUGUGUUAGAAAUACUUAUUAUUUUCAUAUUUUAGAAACUUGAGAUGAUUGUGUACAUAAAGUUUUGGCUUCUAGGUGGAAGAUAUGUGGCUUCAUAGCCAUAUGCCCUGUGCACUACUCUAAAGGUGAUUCUCCACAACUUACCCCACAAAGACAUAUUAAUGAGAGAGCCUCUACAUAGUUGCUCAGUGCUAUAUAUAGCAAUGAAAUUUCCUUCAAACCAUAACCCAUUGUCUUAGAAAAAAAAGACUGACAUUGGAUAAUGUAGUCUUAGAUACACAAAGUUGGAAUAAAAGAUGGGAUGGUCACAGCUAGAACACUUUUGAUCAAGAAUCUGCUGGCCUGAGUCCAAACAAAAAACUCACAAAGUAACUGUGUUUUUAGGUAUGACACUCAAAUUUCUUCUAUCCUUACAUGGUACAUCAAUCUCUUGCCAAACUCCUCACCUGGAUUGGCCCUCGUGCUGGUGGAAUGUAAAAGUACCCACUACACUAUCGGAGUGGUUGACAGGAAGGGCAUCCAGCUGUAGAAACACUGCUAGAUCAGAUUGGAGCCUGGUGCAGCCAUCUGGCUUGCCAGUCCUGUCAAACCAUCCAAUCCAUGCCAGCAUGGAAAGUGGAUGUUAAACAAUGAUGAUGAUGAUGAUUCCAUCAACUCUGAUUAGUUACAUGGCCCACUCAUUUCCCAUUGUACAUCAACAAUCUGUUUAUUGUCACCAUUUAUAUUGUUUUCUCUUAAGCAGAUUAUAUUAUCCUUUGCUCCUCCUUUGCUUUUCAUGAACAGGUUUCAUCCACACCCAACCUAGAUACUACAUGUCAAUCCUUCAAUGUGUCCAUGAAGAGAGGGAGACUUCAAAAGCAUUCUCCAAGGGGUACAUGACAACCAUGUCCAUUUGUACAUUACAAAGACAUAAUUACUGCUCAUAACUAGGAAAUAAACUUCCAUCUCUCCCUCUAUAAUCAUUGGACAAUACACAAAACAGUUAAAGUCUUUAGAAAUGAUAGGACCUGAAAUUACCUAUGAUCUUCCACACACACACACACACACACAUAGAAAAAGCUGUGUCUCAAAGAUUAACAUUUUUCUUCAGAGUCAAGUAAUACUUUUGACCUGAAGCUGAAGUGAAAUCCACAAUGGAAUACUGCUCCCACAUUUGAAACUGGACUAGAGAAGUGUAAAUGUAACCAAACACGUUUGUAUAUACAUACAUAUAUGUGUGUGUGUGUUAGAUUGCUCUUAAGUGCUACUGGUUGCAUGUAAUUCAGUACAUCCUGUUUCAUAGACAAGCUGUAGGCAACUAAACUGGCAACACCAGCAAGAAAAGUACUUGGUGAGUAGGGUGAUUUCCGGUUACCCUGCAGGAUGAAAAACAAGAUCCAUCAAAGGGUGGAUGAACUCAGAAGGAUCAAUGCUCAUCCAAUUACAUGAUAUAUAUAUAGGCGUAGGAGUGGCUGUGUGGUAAGUAGCUUGCUUACGAACCACAUGGUUCUAGGUUCAGUUCCACUGUGUGGCGCCUUGGGCAAGUGUCUUCUACUAUAGCCUCGGGCUGACCAAAGCCUUAUGAGUGGAUUUGGUAGAUGGAAACUGAAAGAAGCCUGUCGUAUAUAUGUAUAUAUAUAUGUAUGUGUGUGUAUAUGAUUGUGUGUCUGUGUUUGUCCCCCCAACAUCGCUUGACAACCGAUGCUGGUGUUUAUGUCCCCGUAACUUAGCGGUUCGGCAAAAGAGACCAAUAAAAUAAGUACUAGGCUUACAAAGAAUAAGUCCUGGGGUUGAUUUGCUCGACUGAAGGCAGUGCUCUAGCAUGGCUACACUCAAAUGACUGAAACAAGUAAAAAGAGUAUGUAUAUAUAUAUAUAUAUAUAUAUAUAUAUAUACCUAAGAAGUGUCAGUUGUGGUGUGCAAGAGAGACGGCUGCGCUGGUAUGGUCAUGUGACGAGAAUGGCUGAAGAUAGUUGUGUGCAAAAGUGCUACACCCUAGCAGUUGAGGGAACCUGUGGAAGAGGUAGACCCAGGAAAACCUGGGAUGAGGUGGUGAAGCACGACCUUCGAACUUUAGGUCUCACCAAGGAAAUGACUAAAGACCGAGUCCUAUGGAAGUGUGCUGUGCAUGAGAGGACCCGGCAGGACUAGUCAGGCCAUAUCCCGUGCCCCUACCUGGGACGUAGUCGAUCCACCUGUGCAUACCUUCCUUCUUGUGACACUUGUGAAGACCUGCUGAGGCAAGUGAAAAUCAAUCAAAACAAAUCAAAAUUGAUGAACAUCAAUGGAAUUUGUAUCUUUGUGGUACCAGUGCCUGUGGCACACAAGAAAACCAUCCGAAUGUGGCCGUAGCCAGUACCGCAUCGACUGGCCUCCGUGCUGUGGGAACAUGACAAACACCAUCCGAUCGUGGCCGUUCGCCAGCCUCAUAUGGCACCUGUGUCGGUGGCACAUAAAAUCACCAUCCGAAGACCCGGCAAGACUAGUCAGGUCAUAACCCGUGUCCCCUACCUGGGACGUAGUCAGUCCACCUGUACAUACCUUCCUUCUUGUGACACUUGUGAAGACCUGUUGAGGCAAGUGAAAAUCAAAACAAAUCAAAAUAGAUGAACAUCAAUGGAAUUUGUAUCUUUGUGGUACCAGUGCCGGUGGCACACAAGAAUCCAUCCGAACGUGGCCGUAGUGAGUACCGCAUCACUGGCCAUCGUGCUGUGGGCACAUAACAAACACCAUCCGAUCGUGGCCGUUCGCCAGCCUCAUCUAGCACCUGUGUCGGUGGCACAUAAAAACACCAUCCGAAGACCCGGCAAGACUAGUCAGGCCAUAACCCAUGGCCCCUACCUGGGACGUAGUCAGUCCACCUGUGCAUACCUUCCUCCUUGUGAUACUUGUGAAGGCCUGUUGAGGCAAGUGAAAAUCAAAAUCAAAUCAAAACAAAUCAAAAUAGAUGAACAUCAAUGGAAUUUGUAUCUUUGUGGUACCAGUGCCGGUGGCACACAAGAAAACCAUCCGAAAGUGGCCGUAGCCAGUACCGCAUCGACUGGCCUCCGUGCUGUGGGCACAUGACAAACACCAUCCGAUCGUGGCCGUUCGCCAGCCUCAUCUAGCACCUGUGUCGGUGGCACAUAAAAACACCAUCCGAAGACACGACAAGACUAGUCAGGCCAUAACCCGUGGCCCCUACCUGGGACGUAGUCAGUCCACCUGUGCAUACCUUCCUUCUUGUGACACUUGUGAAGACCUGUUGAGGCAAGUGAAAAUCAAAACAAAUCAAAAUAGAUGAACAUCAAUGGAAUCUGUAUCUUUGUGGUACCAGUGCCGGUGGCACACAAGAAAACCAUCCGAACGUGGCCGUAGCCAGUUCCGCAUUGACCGGCCUCCGUGCUGUGGGCACGUAACAAACACCAUCCGAUCAUGGCCGUUCGCCAGCCUCAUCUGGCACCUGUGUCGGUGGCACAUAAAAACACAUUCCGAAGACCCGGCAAGACUAGUCAGUCCACCUGUGCAUACCUUCCUCUUGUGACACUUGUGAAGACCUGUUGAGGCAAGUGAAAAUCAAAUCAAAUCAAAAUAGAUGAACAUCAAUGGAAUUUGUAUCUUUGUGGUACCAGUGCCUGUGGCACACAAGAAAUCCAUCCGAACGUGGCCGUAGUCAGUACCGCAUCGACUGGCCAUCAUGCUGUGGGCACAUAACAAACACCAUCCGAUCGUGGCCGUUCGCCAGCCUCAUCUAGCACCUGUGUCGGUGGCACAUAAAAACACCAUCCGAAGACCCGGCAAGACUAGUCCGGCCAUAUCCCAUGGCCCCUACCUGGGACGUAGUCAGUCCACCUGUGCAUACCUUCCUCCUUGUGAUACUUGUGAAGGCCUGUUGAGGCAAGUGAAAAUCAAAAUCAAAUCAAAACAAAUCAAAAUAGAUGAACAUUAAUGGAAUUUGUAUCUCUGUGGUACCAGUGCCGGUGGCACACAAGAAAACCAUCCAAACGUGGCCGUAGCCAGUACCGCACCGACUGGCCUCCGUGCUGUGGGCACGUAACAAACACCAUCCGAUCGUGGCCGUUCGCCAGCCUCAUCUGGCACCUGUGUCGGUGGCACAUAAAAACACCAUCCGAAGACCCGGCAAGACUAGUCAGGCCAUAACCUGUGGCCCCUACCUGGGACGUAGUCAGUCCACCUGUGCAUACCUUCCUUCUUGUGACACUUGUGAAGACCUGUUGAGGCAAGUGAAAAUCAACAUCAAAUAAAAUCAAAUCAAAACAAAUCAAAAUAGAUGAACAUUAAUGGAAUUUGUAUCUUUGUGGUACCAGUGCCGGUGGCACACAAGAAAACCAUCCGAACGUGGCCGUAGCCAGUACCGCAUCGAAUGGCCUCCGUGCUGUGGGCACGUAACAAACACCAUCCGAUCGUGGCCAUUCGCCAGCCUCAUCUGGCACCUAUGUCGGUGGCACAUAAAAACACCAUCCGAAGACCCGGCAAGACUAGUCAGGCCAUAACCCGUGGCCCUUACCUGGGACGUAGUCAGUCCACCUGUGCUUACCUUCCUUCUUGUGACACUUGUGAAGACCUGUUGAGGCAAGUGAAAAUCAAAACAAAUCAAAAUAGAUGAACAUCAAUGGAAUUUGUAUCUUUGUGGUACCAGUGCCGGUGGCACGUGGCACACAAGAAAACCAUCCGAACGUGGCCGUAGCCAGUACCGCAUCGACUGGCCUCCGUGCUGUGGGCACGUAACAAACACCAUCCGAUCGUGGCCGUUUGCCAGCCUCAUCUGGCACCUGUGUCGGUGGCACAUAAAAACACCAUCCGAGCGUGGCCGUCUGCCAGCCUCGUCUGGCACGUGUCGGUGGCACAUAAAAAAACACCAUCCGAGCGUGGCCGUUUGCCAGCCUCGUCUGGCACCUGUGUCGGUGGCACAUAAAAUCACCCACUACACUCUCGGAGUGGUUGGCGUUAGGAAGGGCAUCCAGCUGUAGAAACACUGCCAGAUCUGACUGGACUGGUGCAGCUUUCGGGCUCCCCAGAACCCAGUUGAACCGUCCAACCCAUGCUAGCAUGGAAAGCGGACGUUAAAUGAUGAUGAUGAUGAUGAUGAUAUAUAUAUAUAUAUUUGUAUGAGGACUUAAAAGUUUCUGGUUUGGUACCCAAGUGCACAUUUAGCUUACGAGGGUGAGUUGGACUCCUAGAUAACUAAUAUAUAAAUAUAAUAUAUAUCCUAGAUAACUGUGAAGAUAACUAAUCCAAGAGAUUAGUUGAUAGAGAAGCCAGAGAGAGAGGGAGAGAGAGAAAGCUGUUUCUGUAUUAAGAAGCAGUGUACUCAGUACUGAGAGCUUGUGCAACAUCAUAUAGCUUCCUCAACUGUAAGGUAAUGAAGGUGGACUGGUAGGCUCUCUUCCUAUUAAGUUAACCCUAAAGUUUUGUAAAUUUCUUUUGGUAUUUAGGGAAUGCUACAGACUUUUUUCAACUCAUCAGUUAUAUAUAGGCUUCACUAUAUUUGCUGAAGUUUAUAGUUUUAUAAAUAAAUGAAAAGGUUUAAUUAGAAUGACUAGAAUGAAUAAUACAAAACUUUUUCAGAAUUUCAUGACCGAAGCUUCUUGGGCUUAUUAACUUUUAAAAUAUCACCUUUGUUGCUUCAAGAACCAGGAUGGAGGACAAAAAAAAAUGCAUUUGGGGACACAGGAGAGAAUAUGAAUACCUAUCUUGAUAAGAAGCUUUAAACAGAACAGGUUAUUUGUCAUGACUUUUAGACCACUGCCUAGAUGGCCUAAAUAGCAUUCUCAAAGGACAUGUUUGCACACAACUGUUCUCGUUCACCCUAAAUUUCAACUAGUUCAGAUAAUAGAUAAAAUAUACAAUAAACCCUUUAUAUUUUGGAUUUAACAAACCAAAUAAUAGUAUUAGCACAGCAAAAUACUCUCACUACACUUUAAAAAUUUAAUAAUUUUAUAUUGUGCAAUAGUUGUCUUCAAUUUCAAUGGGCUUUUGGCAUUAAUGAACACAACUUACCUUCCUUUUUAUUAGUCUGUUAAAUUGAGAGUUCAAUAGGUUUUUUUUUUACUUCAUACACGAAUAUAUUGAGUUGUCAUAUAAAUUCAUUCAUUUCUUUCUAUUGUUAUUUGAAUUAAUUCAAAAAAUAUUUUUAUUGUAAUGCUUUAUUUAUUUAUUUUUGUAGUUCUAUUCUUCCUCUACAACUUUUGUUUGUUUCUAAAAUUUGAAUAAAUUUUUACCUCUUUUCAGACAUAUUAUGAUGUAGUGCCAGGUAGAAGAAUAUGAGCAUUUUCAAUAACUGGUUCUCUUUGCUUUCAAUCAAGGUUCCAAAGCUGCUAAAGCCACUCAUGACUUUUGUGCCAUUUACAGAGAAGGCACUAUUCCUGAAAGAACUGCACAGAAAUGGUUUUCACGCUGCAAGGAGAAACUCUGCUUUACAUUCUGGCCAGCCGGUUCAGUUCAAUAAGGAUGGAUUGAAUAAGGCCAUACGCAAGAAUCCCUGUCAAUCCACUAGGGAAUUGGUCCAGUAGAUGGAAUGCUCUCAUGACACCAUUGUCUGUCACCUUCACUCAAUGGUGCAUGGGUUCUACAUGCUCUGAACAAAAGAGAAACUCCAGUCCCAACAUUGCUAACUCGACCCAAAUGAUAAUCAAGAGAAAGUUCUACUGCACUCGUUGUAUUCUCUUGAUAUAGUACCUCCAGUUUAUUACCAUUUUUGGUUAUUCUCCAACAGUUUGCAUUCAACAACAAUGUGGAGCUAAAAACAUGGCUCAAUGAAUUCUUUGAGUCAAAACCUGGUGAUUUCUA